rnacentral:rRNA from 1 species
AACCUCCGCAAUGUGAGAAAUCGCGACGGGGGGAUCCCAAGUGCCAUUCUUAACGGGAUGGCUUUUCAUUAGUGUAAAGAGCUUUUGGAAUAAGAGCUGGGCAAGACCGGUGCCAGCCGCCGCGGUAACACCGGCAGCUCUAGUGGUAACAAUUUUUAUUGGGCCUAAAGCGUCCGUAGCCGGUUUAAUAAGUCUCUGGUGAAAUCCUGUAGCUUAACUGUGGGAAUUGCUGGAGAUACUAUUAGACUUGAGACCGGGAGAGGUUAGAGGUACUCCCAGGGUAGAGGUGAAAUUCUGUAAUCCUGGGAGGACCGCCUGUUGCGAAGGCGUCUAACUGGAACGGUUCUGACGGUGAGGGACGAAAGUUAGGGGCGCGAACCGGAUUAGAUACCCGGGUAGUCCUAACUGUAAACGAUGCGGACUUGGUGUUGGGGUGGCUUUGAGCUGCUCCAGUGCCGAAGGGAAGCUGUUAAGUCCGCCGCCUGGGAAGUACGGUCGCAAGACUGAAACUUAAAAGGAAG